rnacentral:rRNA from 1 species
UACGUAGGGUGCAAGCGUUAUCCGGAAUUAUUGGGCGUAAAGAGCUCGUAGGCGGUUUGUCGCGUCUGCUGUGAAAACUGGAGGCUCAACCUCCAGCCUGCAGUGGGUACGGGCAGACUAGAGUGCGGUAGGGGAGAUUGGAAUUCCUGGUGUAGCGGUGGAAUGCGCAGAUAUCAGGAGGAACACCGGUGGCGAAGACGACGAUCUGGGUAGAUACUGACGCUGAGAUGCGAAAGCGUGGGGAGCAAACAGG